AUUCCCUGGCAAUGGAAUUCUGCUUAGGGAAAUCAUUCCUUCUCAAUUCCCUGUGCCUUGUGAAAGGAGACACCACAUCAUUGUAACUGAUGAAAGAUUUGAAACAGAAGAAAGUCUGAAGCUGUGCUUCUGUGAGGAAGUGGAACAUCCACCGUGACAAAAAGAAACGAGGAAGAGACACAUAAAGCCGAGUCUCUGGAAUAUGCAGUGACAGCCUUGACUUCUGGGAAACAAAAGACCAGCUUCUUCAAAUCUAUGUCCUGAGAACCUCCUCUUUCCCAGGGAUUGUGCCAAUGUAAGGAUCGAAAAAUGAACGCAUCACAGAACAUACUCUGAAGGCAUCCCAGGACUGCUGAGCAUCAAGCAACAGAAAUUAAAGAAUGCUAAAUAUUAUGUCACUAGCUAUGCCUUCUGGAUAUAAAGACUUCUGGAUAUAAAUGCCUUCUGGAUAUAAAACCCUGGUGAUAUAAAGACUGUUCUCAGGAAUACAAGCAGAAAUAAUUUGUCACAAGCAGACCUACACUCAAAGAAAUGUGAAAAGUUCUUUGGAAGAAAAGAAAAUGAUCACAAAUCAAAACUUGGAUUUACACAAAGCAAAAAGAGCACCAAGAUACAUUAGGAGAAUAUAAACACCAAAAUCCUGAAGCUCAGUGAUAUCCAACAAAAACGAUCAUUCUAGGAAGGAAUAUCCUUUUCAACAAUCCACUCGCAUCCUGGACUUCAAUCAUCUAGAGCAUCACACUUAUGAAUGGGGAGCCUGGAAUGAACAGGCACGUGAGAUAAAUCUGUAACACAACAAGAACAAAAAUUCAUCAAAAGAUGAAAAGAACCCAGUAG